rnacentral:lncRNA from 1 species
GUUUCUGGAGCCAGAGACAUAUCUUUUUGUCCUUUGUGUGUUUCUCUUUGCUUCAACCAAUGCCUCUUGGCGUGAAAUGAGCAGAUAUUGUGAAGAUACAGUAGGUAUCGUGAAGUUAGUGCCUGGGAAGGACUUGGUCUUUGGAAACGAUGAGCUCUCCCUCCUUGCAGCGAGAUUUAUGGCCGGGGUGGGGUGAUGGGGCAGGGUGUUGAGUUUAAAGUUCAGGAUGACCUUUGUUGUUGCCUUUCAUACCUCCGAUCAAGAGUCUUCUGGAAAUAAUGACCGUGCAACUCAAUCUGACAUCCCUGGGUCUCUGUUUCCACUGGGGCGCUGGUGGGCAGGUUCCCAGCAGCGAUCAUAUCUCCAUCUUGUGGGAGCAAAGGACCGCUAAGACUGACCAUUGCAGACCAACCAAGAGCCAUGGGAAUAACAGUUUCAGCUGGAGGGAAAGGAAGCCCUCAGCACUCCCUGCCCACUGGUGAGUUAUUUUCUUACCGUGGGGCCAGGUAGGCUUGGCCGCUGCGUUCACCACCAACCACCGACAGCCUGCAGGACAGAAGGACAAGCUCGGAAGCAGCUGCAGGAAAAAGUGUUUUCAUCCCACUUUCACUCCCCAUUUCUGGGCUUGCAGACCACAGGGAAACAGAUGGGAGGGAAAUAAAACUGACAGAUG